GACGAACGCUGGCGGCGUGCCUAAUACAUGCAAGUAGAACGCUGAAGGAGGAGCUUGCUUCUCUGGAUGAGUUGCGAACGGGUGAGUAACGCGUAGGUAACCUGCCUUGUAGCGGGGGAUAACUAUUGGAAACGAUAGCUAAUACCGCAUAACAGUAGAUAUCGCAUGAUAUCUACUUGAAAGUUGCAAUUGCAUCACUACCAGAUGGACCUGCGUUGUAUUAGCUAGUUGGUGAGGUAACGGCUCACCAAGGCGACGAUACAUAGCCGACCUGAGAGGGGGAUCGGCCACACUGGGACUGAGACACGGCCCAGACGCCUUCGGGAGGCAGCAGGAGGGAAACGUGGGGAAGGGGCGGAAGUCUGAGCGAGCAACGCCGCGUGAGGGAAGAAGGUUGUCGGAUCGGAAAGCUCUGUUGUAAGAGAAGAACGAGUGUGAGAGUGGAAAGUUCACAGUGUGACGGUAUCUUAUCAGAAAGGGACGGCUAACUACGUG
rnacentral:rRNA from 1 species